rnacentral:rRNA from 1 species
UACGAAGGGGGCUAGCGUUGCUCGGAAUUACUGGGCGUAAAGCGCACGUAGGCGGAUUGUUAAGUCGGGGGUGAAAUCCUGGAGCUCAACUCCAGAACUGCCUUCGAUACUGGCGAUCUCGAGUUCGGGAGAGGUGAGUGGAAUUGCGAGUGUAGAGGUGAAAUUCGUAGAUAUUCGCAAGAACACCAGUGGCGAAGGCGGCUCACUGGCCCGAUACUGACGCUGAGGUGCGAAAGCGUGGGGAGCAAACAGG